GCCGUUGGCGGCGGCUAUAAUGCAGUCGACGCACAGCGAAAGGUGCUUGCACCUUUCAAGUGAGUGGCGAACGGGUGAGUAACACGUGGACAACCUGCCUCAAGGCUGGGGAUAACAUUUGGAAACAGAUGCUAAUACCGAAUAAAACUUAGUGUCGCAUGACACAAAGUUAAAAGGCGCUUCGGCGUCACCUAGAGAUGGAUCCGCGGUGCAUUAGUUAGUUGGUGGGGUAAAGGCCUACCAAGACAAUGAUGCAUAGCCGAGUUGAGAGACUGAUCGGCCACAUUGGGACUGAGACACGGCCCAAACUCCUACGGGAGGCUGCAGUAGGGAAUCUUCCACAAUGGGCGAAAGCCUGAUGGAGCAACGCCGCGUGUGUGAUGAAGGCUUUCGGGUCGUAAAGCACUGUUGUAUGGGAAGAACAGCUAGAAUAGGAAAUGAUUUUAGUUUGACGGUACCAUACCAGAAAGGGACGGCUAAAUACGUGCCAGCAGCCGCGGUAAUACGUAUGUCCCGAGCGUUAUCCGGAUUUAUUGGGCGUAAAGCGAGCGCAGACGGUUUAUUAAGUCUGAUGUGAAAGCCCGGAGCUCAACUCCGGAAUGGCAUUGGAAACUGGUUAACUUGAGUGCAGUAGAGGUAAGUGGAACUCCAUGUGUAGCGGUGGAAUGCGUAGAUAUAUGGAAGAACACCAGUGGCGAAGGCGGCUUACUGGACUGCAACUGACGUUGAGGCUCGAAAGUGUGGGUAGCAAACAGGAUUAGAUACCCUGGUAGUCCACACCGUAAACGAUGAACACUAGGUGUUAGGAGGUUUCCGCCUCUUAGUGCCGAAGCUAACGCAUUAAGUGUUCCGCCUGGGGAGUACGACCGCAAGGUUGAAACUCAAAGGAAUUGACGGGGACCCGCACAAGCGGUGGAGCAUGUGGUUUAAUUCGAAGCAACGCGAAGAACCUUUACCAGGUCUUGACAUCCUUUGAAGCUUUUAGAGAUAGAAGUGUUCUCUUCGGGAGACAAAGUGACAGGUGGUGCAUGGUCGUCGUCAGCUCGUGUCGUGAGAUGUUGGGUUAAGUCCCGCAACGAGCGCAACCCUUAUUGUUAGUUGCCAGCAUUCAGAU
rnacentral:rRNA from 1 species